rnacentral:lncRNA from 1 species
CAAAAUUACAUAUCUGGUUUUGAAUUCUACAUGUACAUGUUUAUAGAUAUCAACAUAAACGUAAAAUCACAUCUUCUAUAGAUACGAUAUAUCUUUUGAAACAUGCUAAUAUUUUAAAAUCAAAUACGCGCACAUGUAUAAAGUACAGGUUAAAGAUCAAGGUAUUUAUAUGCCUUUGAACAUGUAUUUUUUUUUAAUUGCGCUCAUGCUAUGCUACAAGUGUAUAUGUCGAAAGUCGGAUAUCUAUUUAUUCUGAAAGACUUGUAACUAGAGUACACAUUUUAUAAACACAUUUGUAUGCACCGAAAACAUUUUUUUUCCUUUCUUUCUUUUAAAUUUUCAAAUGAAAUAAACGAUAAAUGAUACAAGUUUUUAAACAAAUCUGCCCCCAAUAUCAGCCAUUUUUCUUCUGCAGCGUAGAAACAUCAGUUGUCGGUCAUGUGGCACCAAGUCUGCUGUUUCGCGUUGUUCACAUCGGCGUCCCAUAGUUCCGUAAUAAUUCUCUGUUGUUGUUGAAUUCUAUAUGCACACAUCUCGUUGCGGAGUAGUAGAGCAGGCCGACGGAUCCUGAAUUUGCUAAUCACUAAAAUUGUCUAAGAUACUUCCAGGUAGUUUUAAUAUGUUAAUUCUUUACAGUUUUCAGCUAGAGCAGUCUUCAGCUAGGGCAAAAUAUAGUCUUCAUAUCAGCUGGGCAAAAUAAAGUCUUCAUAAUCAUUUGAAUUGCACACUGUGUUGGAUAUUUUCAAUAAGAAUUGUAAGAAGGUAUAAUACACUGACGAGAAUCUGGCAUCGUGUAAAUAUAUCUGUUGCUAAAAUGUGUCUUGUUUGUCUUGUUUCUUUGUUGUUUUCUACACAGAAUUUCAGAUUAUUUCUUUUUUCGUUUUAACAUUGUUCAUAAAUUCUGUCCUAACAAAGUUUCUUUAAUUGUAGAUGGAGAGAAAGAUUGAUAUAUCUUUAUAGCUCGGGGUAUUUUUUCGUUGAUUGUUGUAUUAUUCAUGAUUUUAUCUUUAUCACUUUCACGUUACACCAGGAAGUUGCUGAUAUAGUUGACUGAUAAUAAGUCCUUUAGGGCUGUUAUUGUUACGCAGUCUCUCAUUGGUCAAUAUUGUGUGUUCAACCGUGAAUUUGUCAGUCCCUUUUUGCAUUCAUGGCAGAAACUGUUAGCUAACUGGCCACUGUACUUCUUGCUUGUAUUGUGUGCAGACGUGUUUUAGAAAUUUUGUUUGAAAUUUAAUUAAAAUUCCACCGUAGUACGAGUGCUCAGAUAUAAUAAAAGGAUAUAACACUGGACAAGAAGAAUGAUUACACGUAUCCAAGUUAUUAAAGACUCGUUUGACAAAAACUGUGUAUCCAUGUCAUCUGUCUCUAUGGACUGAUCAAAAUGCGAAGCACCAGAUUCCAUACCGGAUUCAUUAUCAAGUAUCAGAAACAUCAGAUUCAUCAUUACUGCUUGAGCUAGAAUCCUCAGGAGGUAAUACAUAAUUAACCCUUCGUCUUGGAUAACCUUUAACAGCUUUGCAAUGUCAGCAAGCCUAAUCUGAUCCGCAUAUACUUGAACAACUGAGUUGUCAAGCUGGUUCUUAAUAAGAACUUCCCUAAAGGCAGAACUCGUAAAUUCUGACCCUCGGUCAUGAAUUAUCUGGAGAGGACAUCCAUAUCUAGGAUAUAUCUCAUUCAAAAAAUCUGGUGGUUGUGAAAAGAAAUCAGCAAUAACAUUUGCUUUACCUGGAGGAUACUCUAUCUUACAGUUGUAACUACAACUAGACAAUGCCCAUAACUGAAUUUUCUUGUUUUGCAUUGGACUUUUUAAUAAAUACUGGAGCGGAGAAUGGUCGCAUUUGAUUAUAAAUUCAGCAUUGUGUA